rnacentral:rRNA from 1 species
GAUGAACGCUGGCGGCGUGCCUAAUACAUGCAAGUCGAGCAAACGGACGAGAAGCUUGCUUCUCUGAUGUUAGCGGCGGACGGGUGAGUAACACGUGGAUAACCUACCUAUAAGACUGGGAUAACUUCGGGAAACCGUAGCUAAUACCGGAUAAUAUUUUGAACCGCAUGGUUCAAAAGUGAAAGACGGUCUUGCUGUCACUUAUAGAUGGAUCCGCGCUGCAUUAGCUAGUUGGUAAGGUGACGGCUUACCAAGGCAACGAUGCAUAGCCGACCUGAGAGGGUGAUCGGCCACACUGGAACUGAGACACGGUCCAGACUCCUACGGGAGGCAGCAGUAGGGAAUCUUCCGCAAUGGGCGAAAGCCUGACGGAGCAACGCCGCGUGAGUGAUGAAGGUCUUCGGAUCGUAAAACUCUGUUAUUAGGGAAGAACAUAUGUGUAAGUAACUGUGCACAUCUUGACGGUACCUAAUCAGAAAGCCACGGCUAACUACGUG